CAGCGUAUCAAGAAACAGAUUAAUGCCCACUGUUUAUUUGGCUCUCUUGAGAACUGCAACAAUUUAGCUUUGCAGGAGUUCUGAUAAGCUGCUCUUCCCAAGUAAAAUGCUCCUGUUGAUGUUUCUGUGAACUAUGAUGAAGAGCAAGCACACUACCAACUCAUUUUCACCAGGGUUUGGUGUGAAGCUCUCCAUCAGCUUAACUACAGAAAGCCAAAAGAAAACAGAAGGCAAAACCCAAAACAAAUGGACCCCUCUUAGGCAUGACAUUUUGCAUACGCUGGUAUUAGAAGAAUGAAUCACAAAAUAUCAACAAAAUCACUCACAAAUUGUAUACAGCAAAAGCAGUUCCAGGCUUUCCUGCUCUCCCGGUCCUAAUACAGUUACCGACCACUGCAUUUUUUCUGCAUGACUUGGCAAUGUUGUCUUUGUUGGCUCUUCCCUGUGUGGAGCCUCAGAAGGAAGAGGAAGAUGGAGCAUACAGAGUCCAGACUGCAAAAGACUUCACAGCUUCAUCUCAUCCUUUCUAUCCAUAUCAGUGUAAAUAUUUUUUAGCAAUCAAUAACUUUCUAACAUCACUUCUGUGAUUUAAUUUGUGCUAUAAGAAGUAUAAGUACAAUUUCUUUUUAAAAAGUACAGCAAGUAGUCUUUAGAUAUAAGUACUAUUUCUAGCAGUAGAAGACUAAAGAGAGUGGAAAAAUACAAGUAGCUGAAAUCGGUAAUAAAAUAGUAAUUGUUACAAGUUUUCA
rnacentral:lncRNA from 1 species